rnacentral:rRNA from 1 species
GACGAACGCUGGCGGCGUGCUUAACACAUGCAAGUCGAACGGAAAGGCCCUGCUUUUGUGGGGUGCUCGAGUGGCGAACGGGUGAGUAACACGUGAGUAACCUGCCCUUGACUUUGGGAUAACUUCAGGAAACUGGGGCUAAUACCGGAUAGGAGCUCCUGCUGCAUGGUGGGGGUUGGAAAGUUUCGGCGGUUGGGGAUGGACUCGCGGCUUAUCAGCUUGUUGGUGGGGUAGUGGCUUACCAAGGCUUUGACGGGUAGCCGGCCUGAGAGGGUGACCGGCCACAUUGGGACUGAGAUACGGCCCAGACUCCUACGGGAGGCAGCAGUGGGGAAUAUUGCACAAUGGGCGGAAGCCUAAUGCAGCAACGCCGCGUGCGGGAUGACGGCCUUCGGGUUGUAAACCGCGUUCGCCUGUGACGAAGCGUGAGUGACGGUAAUGGGUAAAGAAGCACCGGCUAACUACGUGC